rnacentral:rRNA from 1 species
UUUUAAGCUUGGGCGGCUUAAAUGCAAGUCGCACGGGCAGCAAUGUCAGUGGCGGACGGGUGAGUAACGCGUAGGGAAGUGUCCAGAGGUGGGGGACAACCCCGGGAAACUGGGGCUAAUACCGCAUAUGAGCUGAGGCUCAAAGCCGUGAGGCGCCUUUGGAGUUACCUGCGUCCGAUUAGCUAGUUGGUGGGGUAAAGGCCUACCAAGGCGACGAUCGGUAGCUGGUCUGAGAGGACGACCAGCCACACUGGGACUGAGACACGGCCCAGACUCCUACGGGAGGCAGCAGUGGGGAAUAUUGGACAAUGGGCGCAAGCCUGAUCCAGCAAUGCCGCGUGGGUGAAGAAGGUCUUCGGAUCGUAUAGCCCUUUCGGCGGGGACGAUGAUGA